UACAGAGGGGGCAAGCGUUAUUCGGAAUUAUUGGGCGUAAAGGGCGCGUAGGCGGCUUUGCAAGUGACGGGUGAAAUCCCUCGGCUUAACCGAGGAACUGCCUGUCAAACUGCAUGGCUUGAGACCGGGAGAGGUGAGUGGAAUUCCCAGUGUAGCGGUGAAAUGCGUAGAUAUUGGGAGGAACACCAGUGGCGAAGGCGGCUCACUGGACCGGUACUGACGCUGAUGCGCGAAGGCCAGGGGAGCAAACGGG
rnacentral:rRNA from 1 species